rnacentral:rRNA from 1 species
UGGGGAAUCUUGCACAAUGGGGGCAACCCUGAUGCAGCGACGCCGCGUGAGCGAUGAAGCCCUUCGGGGCGUAAAUCUCUUUCGACCGGAACGAUAAUGACGGUACCGGGAGAAGAAGCUGCGGCUAACUACGUGCCAGCAGCCGCGGUAAUACGUAGGCAGCAAGCGUUGUUCGGAGUUACUGGGCGUAAAGAGUGCGUAGGCGGUUUUCUAAGUUCGGUGUGAAAUCUCCCGGCUUAACUGGGAGGGUGCGCCGAAGACUGGGAAGCUGGAGUGUGGGAAAGGCAGGCGGAAGUCCUGGUGUAGCGGUGAAAUGCGUAGAUAUCAGGAGGAACACCGGCGCUGUAGACGGCUUGCUAGACCAUAACUGACGCUGAGGCACGAAAGCGUGGGUAGCAAACA